rnacentral:miRNA from 1 species
GUUGUGUGUGUAUCUCUGUAGUUGUGUGUGUGUGUGUGUGUGUGUGUGUGUAUAUAUAUAUAUAUACACACACACACACACACACACACACAUAAACACAGACAUACACA